ACCGGGCCUCUAGUAUAUACUAAAAUUGGAAUGAUAUAGAGAAGAUUAGCAUGGCCGCUGCUCAAGGAUGACACGCAAAUUAGGCAUUUCCAUGUAAAAUUU